rnacentral:ncRNA from 1 species
UAGGCGGACAGCAAGUGCUUCGAUGUCCAGCUCGGACACGAAAAGACGAUGACCAACAUGCUUCCUGCUCUGACCGGCAGCAAUGUUAUCUACGGCA